CCAAACUUGAGUUGUUGUGAAUCCAACAACUAUCACCUGAAAAAUCUACACCCACAACCAACCCAUAUGCCUCUCACUCUUUCUCUUGCCCAUAAAGUUAAAAGUAAAAAUAGAGAAUCAGUUACAAGAGUCAAAACAAACAAGAAAAAGUGCUUCCAUUUCAUCUUAAAUAUUUUUUCUCAUUUGCUUAACUAUACCAACUCCAACAUUCCAAACUCCUCUUAUGCUUCUCUCAACAUGUAUAUAUAUAUAAACCUCUUUACACAAGUCAAAUCUCAAAUCAAUCAUAUCAAUCAAAUUGUCUUUGAUCAUCUUUAG